rnacentral:rRNA from 1 species
AUUGAACGCUGGCGGCAGGCCUAACACAUGCAAGUCGAACGAGUGGCGGACGGGUGUGUAAUGUCUGGGAAACUGCCUGAUGGAGGGGGUUAACUACUGGAAACGGUAGCUAAUACCGCAUACCAUCAGAUGUGUCCAGACGGGAUUAGCUAUUUGGUGGGGUAACGGGUCACCAAGGCGCCGAUCCCUAGCUGGUCUGCGCGGAUGACCAGCCACACUGGAACUGGACAACGUUCCAGACUCCUACGGAGGGCAGCAGUGGGGAAUAUUGCACAUUGGGCGCAAGCCGGAUGCAGCCGUGCCGCGUGUAUGAAGAAGGCCUUCGGGUUGUAAAGGUCUUUCAGCGGGGAGGCGUUACCCGCAGAAGAAGCACCGGCUAACUCCGUGCCAGCAGCCGCGGUAAUUC